GAUGAACGCUGGCGGCGUGCCUAAUACAUGCAAGUCGAGCGAACGGACGAGAAGCUUGCUUUUCUGAUGUUAGCGGCGGACGGGUGAGUAACACGUGGAUAACCUACCUAUAAGACUGGGAUAACUUCGGGAAACCGGAGCUAAUACCGGAUAAUAUUUUGAACCGCAUGGUUCAAAAGUGAAAGACGGUCUUGCUGUCACUUAUAGAUGGAUCCGCGCUGCAUUAGCUAGUUGGUAAGGUAACGGCUUACCAAGGCAACGAUGCAUAGCCGACCUGAGAGGGGAAUCGGCCACACUGGAACUGAGACACGGUCCAGACUCCUACGGGAGGCAGCAGUAGGGAAUCUUCCGCAAUGGGCGAAAGCCUGACGGAGCAACGCCGCGUGAGUGAUGAAGGUCUUCGGUUCGUAAAACUCUGUUAUUAGGGAAGAACAUAUGUGUAAGUAACUGUGCACAUCUUGACGGUACCUAAUCAGAAAGCCACGGCUAACUACGU
rnacentral:rRNA from 1 species